GAUGAACGCUGGCGGCGUGCCUAAUACAUGCAAGUCGAGCGAAUGGAUUAAGAGCUUGCUCUUAUGAAGUUAGCGGCGGACGGGUGAGUAACACGUGGGUAACCUGCCCAUAAGACUGGGAUAACUCCGGGAAACCGGGGCUAAUACCGGAUAACAUUUUGAACCGCAUGGUUCGAAAUUGAAAGGCGGCUUCGGCUGUCACUUAUGGAUGGACCCGCGUCGCAUUAGCUAGUUGGUGAGGUAACGGCUCACCAAGGCAACGAUGCGUAGCCGACCUGAGAGGGUGAUCGGCCACACUGGGACUGAGAAACGGCCCAGACUCCUACGGGAGGCAGCAGUAGGGGAUCUUCCGCAAUGGACGAAAGUCUGACGGAGCAACGCCGCGUGAGUGACGAAGGCUUUCGGGUCGUAAAACUCUGUUGUUAGGGAAGAACAAGUGCUAGUUGAAUAAGCUGGCACCUUGACGGUACCUAACCAGAAAGCCACGGCUAACUACGUGCCAGCCGCCGCGGUAA
rnacentral:rRNA from 1 species